rnacentral:rRNA from 1 species
CCAGACUCCUACGGGAGGCAGCAGUGAGGAAUAUUGGUCAAUGGGCGGGAGCCUGAACCAGCCAUGCCGCGUGAAGGCGAGUGCCCUACGGGCGUUAAACUUCUUUUGUGCGGGAGCAAUAAGGGCCACGUGUGGCCCGAUGAGAGUACCGCACGAAUAAGCAUCGGCUAACUCCGUGCCAGCAGCCGCGGUAAUACGGAGGAUGCGAGCGUUAUCCGGAUUUAUUGGGUUUAAAGGGUGCGUAGGCGGUCCGUUAAGUCAGCGGUAAAAUUGCGGGGCACAACCCCGUCGAGCCGUUGAAACUGGCAGACUUGAGUUAGCGAGAAGUACGCGGAAUGCGCGGUGUAGCGGUGAAAUGCAUAGAUAUCGCGCAGAACUCCGAUUGCGAAGGCAGCGUACCGGCGCCACACUGACGCUGAGGCACGAAAGCGUGGGGAUCGAACAGGAUUAGAUACCCUUGUA